UUUUUCGGGGUAAGGUGAAAUUCCUAAACCGGCAGUUAUAGUCUGCGAGCCAUUUUUUGGCUGAUUUGGUGAGAUUCCAAAACCGACAGUUAUAGUCUGGAUGGGAGAAAU
rnacentral:ncRNA from 1 species